UACGUAGGGGGCUAGCGUUGUCCGGAAUCAUUGGGCGUAAAGAGCGUGUAGGCGGUCCGGUAAGUCCGCUGUGAAAGUCGGGGGCUCAACCCUUGAAUGCCGACCGAUACUGUCGGGCUAGAGUCCGGAAGAGGUGAGUGGAAUUCCUGGUGUAGCGGUGAAAUGCGCAGAUAUCAGGAGGAACACCAAUGGCGAAGGCAGCUCACUGGGACGGUACUGACGCUGAGACGCGAAAGCGUGGGGAGCAAACAGG
rnacentral:rRNA from 1 species